rnacentral:rRNA from 1 species
AACGCUGGCGGCGUGCUUAACACAUGCAAGUCGUACGCGAAAGGGACUUCGGUCCCGAGUAAAGUGGCGCACGGGUGAGUAACACGUGGAUAAUCUGCCUCUAUGAUGGGGAUAACAGUUGGAAACGACUGCUAAUACCGAAUACGCUCAUGAUGAACUUUAUGAGGAAAGGUGGCCUCUGCUUGCAAGCUAUCGCAUAGAGAUGAGUCCGCGUCCCAUUAGCUAGUUGGCGGGGUAACGGCCCACCAAGGCAACGAUGGGUAGCCGGUCUGAGAGGAUGACCGGCCACACUGGAACUGGAACACGGUCCAGACUCCUACGGGAGGCAGCAGUGGGGAAUAUUGCGCAAUGGGCGAAAGCCUGACGCAGCGACGCCGCGUGAGGGAUGAAGGUCUUCGGAUCGUAAACCUCUGUCAGAAGGGAAGAAACUAGGGUGCUCUAAUCAUCAUCCUACUGACGGUACCUUCAAAGGAAGCACCGGCUAACUCCGUGCCAGCAGCCGCGGUAAUACGGAGGGUGCAAGCGUUAAUCGGAAUCACUGGGCGUAAAGCGCACGUAGGCUGUUAUGUAAGUCAGGGGUGAAAUCCCACGGCUCAACCGUGGAACUGCCCUUGAUACUGCACGACUUGAAUCCGGGAGAGGGUGGCGGAAUUCCAGGUGUAGGAGUGAAAUCCGUAGAUAUCUGGAGGAACACCGGUGGCGAAGGCGGCCACCUGGACGGUAACUGACGCUGAGGUGCGAAAGCGUGGGUAGCAAACAGGAUUAGAUACCCUGGUAGUCCACGCU